UUUUCCCUUAGCAAGUGGAAGGUGUGCAGGCAGAGAUGAGAUCGGUGUGUGCUCAGUUCUUUUAUUUCAGACUUUUUUUAGCAUAAGUCAAGCAGCUUUGAAUAAUUCUCCUUUGACUCAUUAACUGUCAAAAGCAAAUGUAGAUGGGAGGCAUAAAACUGUUUCUUUCAGAAAAGAAGAAUAUAGCUGCAAUAUAGUCUUUCUCCAUAUGGAAGCAUCCUUAAGAAGAAUCCAGGCUUAUACAUAAGCAGGCGCUGACACAUUACAUGAUGUAUUUAUAAUAAGACAGGGAAAUAUAUAGAGAACAUUUCAGUUGCCUAAACAUGAAGUGCCAUUUGAGAUAUGGUUGACUCAUCUCAUCUCCUGGUACCUCACCAGGUCUCCAGCUUGUGACCCAGGGGAGUUUUGUCAUAUCUUGUGUAAACGUACCACCUGUCCUAGGAUAUCUCAAACAGCACAAGAUACUUACGCUUAGACUCAUCUACAUGAGGUAAGCCCAGGUAGGUGAAAAUAGCAUAAAGUUUGUUCCUAGCUGGUUGAAAUACAACCUCUAGAGACACAUUAGGCCUGAAGGUUGCAUUAAAAGUCCUUGUGCACAAAGUGCUAGUUUUAGAAUCCUAAUCUGUAAUUUUUUAUAAAAUGUGAAUGAUGGAAUAAAAGUUAUGCUUAUUACAUUUUCAGACUAUGCCUCAUGGAAGAUACUGUGAGCAUUUUGGAGUGGAUGGUGGUAAAUGAGUGCUUAAAAUGGAGAAGGCAAGCUUUCUCCCUGACUUCUGCAUGUGCUGCUGCGGUUUGGGAAGGAGAUGGCAACCAACAGAGAUCUUGCUCUGACUCAGCAUCCUCAUAGGGCUCUUCUUGAGAAGGAGAAAAGGAUGCAGGAAAUGGAACAGUUUACUGAAGCCGCGUCCUCAUUGACACUGACGACUGGUGGUUUCAUCUUUCUAGCUUUCAACAUCAAGAGCUAA
rnacentral:lncRNA from 1 species